GGGGAAGGGGACCGCGGAAAGAGCAAAGGGAAGGGGGGCGGUGGAACCCGCCGAUUCUUCUGCCGGUCGGUCUGGGGCUGCUCCGCGGGGAGUGCGGCGCGGGUCGCCGUGACCGGUCGGCGUGUUGCAAAGCGUGGAACGUGCAAAGUUUUCUUAAGAAAAGCUGUUCUUCGGGGUGACCGUCUCCGGAAAGAAUGUGAUGUCAGCUGCCGGACACUUCCAGCACAUCAGGAUCAGCAGGACUGCCCCCGACACGUGCACAGCCAGCCCCAUCUCUCACAGGCUGCGGGAGCCUUUCACUCCUGCCAGGCCAGAUCAUAGCUCCUUGCUGUUCCCCAGCAAUUCAGACUGCUGGCAAGGUGGGUAUUGCUCGCUGCAGGCAGCCAGUUCUGCUCCUGAGCACCUUGGAGCCUCUUCUCAGCCAGGUAAGCACUGGAAAGUACCAGCAGACAGAAGAUGUU
rnacentral:lncRNA from 12 species